rnacentral:misc_RNA from 1 species
UCCGGCGUUGGCUCCCGGGAACGCUUUUCAUUGCAAUUAGCGGCAUCUGCCUCUCUCGCCUCGGAUUUGUGAUGGUCUUGUCCAUGAUCAUCGGAAGCGACAUCACUGGUUCCUUUCCGCCAACUCACGGCCGUCGCUUGCUGUGACGAGAUUCUGAUCCUUCAAAGAAAUCGUGUCAUUCGGACCGUCAUCGUGGAAGUGAUGAUGGUGGUGGCUUUCCGCAAUAACGAGGUCAAACUGGUCAACGGCCG